AUCCCAGAACUUUGGGAGGCCGAGGCGGGCGGAUCACCUGAGGUCGGGAGUUCGAGACCAGCCUGACCAACAUGGUGAAACCCCGUCUCUACUAAAAAUACAAAAUUAGCCGGCCGUGGUGGUGCAUGCCUGCAAUCCCAGCUACUCAGGAGGCUGAGGCAGGAGAAUUGCUUGAACCCGGGAGGCCGAGGUUUCGUUGAGCAGAGAUCACACCAUUGCACUCCAGCCUGGAUAACAAGAGCGAAACUCCAUCUCAAAAAAAAAAAAAAAAAAGUAAAUCUUUUGUUGUGUACAAAAUCACAUAGAAGCUAUGUUCCAGUUUGUUUGCAUAUGUCAGUCAGGUCAGAUAGAAUUCUAUUUACUAGGAUGUCAUCAACAAUCCACUCACACAGAGCUGGGGCCCUGUCCCAAAUUAAUGCAACCGUAAGAUGAAUUGCUUAAGAUGGAGAAACUUACAUGUAUUUAUGAUUUUGGAAACUCUUGAGGGCUUGUCUUAUACAUUUCAGGCUGAAGUAAAACUUCAGAGACAUUUCUCCCCAUAGUAUAUUGUAAAAUCAGAGGCCAGGCAGAAAAGAAGUAAAAGGCUAGGAUGAGGAAGUCAGUAGGGGCGGGGCGGGGGGGAUCGUUAACACCUAGAACAGUGCGAAGAGGCCACAGGAAACGGUCCCCUUCGGCCAUCCGGACCAGGGUGAGGCACUAGGGAAACCCAACGGGACACACCGCUCUCAGACAGGAAGAGUUGCUGGCUGUAAACAACUCAGGCUGUCUUGUCUUGUGAGAACAGUUACAGAAUGGACACCACGAGGGCAACGGACUUCUGAGAUAAGUAAACGCACCUCUCCUUGGCCACUUAGCUCCUCAAAAGGCCCCAGGGCCCCACCCUUCCUAGGUUGCCUUCCCAGAGUGCCUCGCGCCUUUCCCGGCGUGCCCUGCUGCCGCUCCCCAAGCUGCUCUCCCGGAGGCCUCGGGGCGCCCCUCCGCCAUCUGCAGCUCCCUGCAGACUUGCAGGCUCAGACGGGAGCUGUCCACCGCCUGCAUCAGGAAAAGGGCUUGCUUGCGUGUGGUAACCACCUUCUUCAACUUUCUCUGGAAGGAUUGUGGAGAGACCUUUUUCUGCUAGAGAAAGUGUGCAACAUGGUAAAGAGAACUGUAGGAAGAGAAAUGGCAGCCCUGCUUGAGCAGUGAGAAUAAUAAAAUGGUCAUCUGGAGAGCUCCAGAGACAGUUGGCAAGGUUCAGAUUCAAGCUUUACCAGGUAACAACUAUAUAAGGUUUCACUGUACAACGGAGAUAAUAUAUAGUACAUUCACCUCAUAGUGUUGUUGUAAGGAUUAUAUAAAUACAGGUAAUGUAUCUGACAUGUAGUAGGCAGUCAAUAAAUGUUUGCUAUUAUCAUUACAGCUGAAAACUUAAACUACUUACCUAUACCUAGAGAGACAGUGAGUAAUGAGCUAAAAAUAUGGCCUAGAUGAUUAUGUUUGAGGUUUCUUUUAGAAUCUUAAUCCAUCUGGCCUCAUACUAAUUUUCCUUAUUAUACUACCUGUAAUGUAACCUCCGCCCCCCAGUUGUCUAGCCUAUAUACACUUUCAGAAUUCUCUUACCCUAAUGUUCAUCUGGGUUUCUUGUUCACUCUUCCAAACUCUGAUGCUUCCCCUUGUAAAAUCCUCCAACUGUGCCCUCCCGAAUGCCCAACCCAUGAUGCACAAACUCUUCUCCAUCCUCCACCCUUCUAAAUGCAGUUUAAACACAAACUGGCUUUUUGCCCAGGACAUUACUUCCUUUUUCAGGAGGAAGCUGUUCAUUUGCCUCGCUCUUUAGUGCCAUUUCCAGACUGUUUCCCUUUAACUUUCUUCACCCGCAGUCACCUCAGAGAUCUCAGUGACACUAUUAAGACAGUG
ensembl:lincRNA